rnacentral:antisense_RNA from 1 species
CUCUAUGGCAGAUCGCGUGGGGAGACCCCUAGCGGUCUGCCGGCUCCAGUGUCCGGUCUGUCAACCCUGCGCGAUCUGCCACCUUU